GUGACAGUUGGGGGGAUGGGAAAUCUGCUGAUUGUCGAGUGCCAAAAAAACAGAGAUGGAGAAGAAAAGGUCAAAGCCAGGUGCCCAAUUUCGAAAAAAAAAGAAAAGAAGAAGAGGAGAAACGAGCAAAAGAUAAAGGGGCACUUCUUAAAUAUUUUGGAGCAUCCUCUGCCACUGGUCAGGAUGAGCCAACCACCUCCUCCGCUACACAUGUCUCCACAAAUAUCUGAUAUUGAGGAUGAAGACCUCUUUGCCUCUACUUCUACCCAGCAUGAGCUUUCAGAAAUGCCUGGAGCUGAACCCCCACUGAGCCCCACUGGCCCUCACAUCUGACUGACAGGAUUCGGACUGAGCUGGUUCACAGAGGACCAAGUAAAGUGCCACCUGGCUUUGUUUUCCGUAGGAAUGAGAGUAAUGUGAGAAGUUGCCACCACUAAUAUUUUAUGAAGACAUUAGUAAGUGGUGAAAAGAUGGCAAGAAGUUGGCUGAUUUAUUCAAUUAAGAACAACAGCCUCUUUUGCUUCUGCUGCAAAUUGUUUUCCAAGAGGAACAUCAAUUUAACAAGUGCAGGAAUGGCAAAUUGGAAACAUGCAUGCAAUGAUCUCACAUCAUAUGAAAACAGUUGUUAUAAUAAAAUAUUGCUGUUUGUGCAGAA